CUUCUUUGUAUAGUCUCUCACAGCCCCACAAACUCGAACAUUGCAAAACCUUUGUAUCCAUGUAGAAGAAUCAAGACGUGGUUUCUUCUUUUUUUGUUUUUAUUUGGAAUUUAUUGGAAAAUUCAGGGAAAGAUGAAGAUGCUUGCUCUAUGUUUGAGAAAAUUGUUGUAACUGAGACGUGAAAGAUGAAUCAUCGGUGUUUCCAUUCAUACGAUAGCCUCCUUGUAACUGCCGUCUCUGCCACUGCCAAAUCGGUAUUGUUUCCACCGUCAUUGUUGGUUCAUCGAAUCACCCAUCCCCAAUUCAUGAUCUCGCCUCCUCCCAUGACAGAAGUUUGAAAGAACAAGGCUUUGGCGGAUGAUGAAUCUCUCAAAUCCCCUGAUUUGAAUUUUCAAAUAACUCUCUAAACCCUACUACCUCCUUCGAUCAUUGUGCAGGUUUUAAAUGUGCAAUGUGUGAAGGGUUGACUCCUACCAUGAAAGGUAAGAUUUCAGCAUUCAUAAACCAGUAGGAAGCUGGGACAAAAUAAAGAAUAAAAGAAAAGAAAAACAUUUGGUGGAAUUAUAGAGGGAGACAAAAUCCAACGACUAGUAGGGUGGAUGAUAUCAUGACAAUGAAGAACCAAACUAUGUAGAGAUGUUGAAUUUUGAUCAUCAGCUGCAUCGAAAUUAAUUGUAGCAACCAUUGUUCUGACAUGAACUUUCCUAGCCUUAUGUUGUUGAGGAUUGUUCUUGGGGAUUACAGAAAUAGCAAUCUACUUGUGGCUGAUAUACUAAAAAGACCUUGGACUAUUGAAGUAUUAUGGGGAGCUUAUGUAUAGGGUUAUUGAGUUGGGUGCGCCUUACUCUUAGAGAAAGAUGUUAAAUUCACCCAUAACAAGUAAGGUUUUUGAGAUAGGGGCAAAGUCAUCCAAUAGGGGGAAGAGCCAUCAAACUUUCGUGUAGAUUAUCCCAAUAUAACCAGAACACUGAAGAUUGCUCUUUAUCAUCUUUCAACACCGGUAAUUAGAUUGUAGAUUUAAGAAAUUUUAUAUGUCCAAGUUUAUGUUAAUAUUAAAGUAUCAUGUGUUAAA